rnacentral:rRNA from 1 species
GACGAACGCUGGCGGCGUGCCUAAUACAUGCAAGUAGAACGCUGAAGAGAGGAGCUUACUCUUCUUGGGUGAGUUGCGGACGGGUGAGUAACGCGUAGGUAACCUGCCUUUUAGCGGGGGAUAACUAUUGGAAACGAUAGCUAAUACCGCAUAACAAUUUAUAACACAUGUCAUAUAUGUGAAAGGGGCUAUUGCUCCACUACAAGAUGGACCUGCGGUGUAUUUGCUUGUAUGUGAGGUAAUGGCUCAACUAGGCGACGAUACAUAGCCGAACUGAGAGGGUGGUCGGCCAACCUGGGAAUGAGACACGGCCCCGAACCCUACGGGAGGCAGCCGUAGGGGAUUCUCGGGCAAGGGGGCAACCCUGAACGGGGCACGCCGGGUGAGUGAAGGAGGUUUUCGGGUCGUUAAGCUCUGUUGUAAGUCAAGAAAGAAAGUGAGAGUGAACAGUUCACACUGUGACGGUAGCUAAUCAGAAAGGCACGGCUAACUACGUG